rnacentral:sRNA from 1 species
UCGUAUGGGUGUGAAUCUGCGUCCUGAAAGCGCUCGUCAGACGCAGUAUAUUUGAUGUAACACGUGUAGCUGGUGUUUUUUGUGACAGCGAUGUUUUGAUGAUUUUUCAGUAAUGAGGGUAGGCUGAAUAAAUAACCACACGAGAUAUGAUUCCCAGAACGAUUGCGAAAAUCCCCACGACGACAGAGAUGAUCACCAGGGUGCGCGCGCGGCUUGACUGUGCUUCCGCUUCUACAAAAUCCCCUUCCGCUGCUGCAGAAUUAGCCUGUUAACAAAAAAUACCAUGGAACUAUGAAACACAGCUUUAUAACGGAGACAAAUGAUUUAUUUUUUUUGGAAGUAAUUUAAUUAUUUAAACUUUUUUAAAGAUACAUGUACGCAAAGAUCUUUUGCAAUUUAGGUUCAAUAAAAUAUGCAGUAAGGUAUGUAUUCUUGUCGCAAUAUAUCUGCCUUUUUUCAAAUUUGAACCUCGUUUGAAUAACUACAAUCACGUAAAACACAAAUGUUGCGCAACAACAUUUUAGAAACAGUCACGAUAUGUUGUCACACCAAGAUAUUUCUUUUUAAUUGUAAUGUACAUGUACCAAAUGAAUGAACUCAAAUAUUACUUGUAUCAAAUUCAUCUAAUUAAUUUGUCAAUAUAAUGUUGUAAGCAUGCAAAUGUAUAGGACAAUAUAAUGUUAUAAGCAAAUGUAAAGGACAUUACCCUGCUUGCUGCCAAUAUGGCAAAUAUACCCGUUGGACAAAAGCAGCACAAACAUGAGAGGACUGCCGGAACCAUGUAAUCAGUGCGUGGACGGGUAGUGUUAACGACCAUCGGGACUGAUCCAGGCUGUGCGACCUGCAAUAAUAAAUUGGUGUAUCAUUGAAAAAGAAUAUAUUUUAAACACGUUUUUGAACACACCAUAGGGUAUUCGUUACUUGGUUUUGUUGCCAGUCCAUAUUUAUAGUACAUGUACCUAUACAUAUGUAAUUCACUGAAUACUUAUACUGUCGUCUGAAGCUCUCCAUGGCAAGCAUGCAUUUAUCAUAUCAUAUGAUAUGUACACAACUUUAUUUAAACGAUUACCGGAAGAUGUAUUUGACAUCCGUUAUCAUGUAUUGACUAUGUAAAUCUACGCCUUUUUUACACUUUUUGUAUAAGCAAUCUUUUAUAUAAGAUAUAAAAACUGACUGCUUUUCUGAAGAAAAAAAAACCCACCAUUUUUUUUAUUGUGGUUAAUUAAAGCAUAAAUGU